rnacentral:lncRNA from 1 species
CGCAUCCAGAAACCGACGGCCGUUAACAAGGAUCACCUGCUUCGAGAAGGACACUGAGAGAAGGGGUUGAUCGCUGCCUGAUCCGGUAGGGAAGAAAAAAAAAAAGGCUCGGGAUGAUUUGGGGAAGAAAAGAAGGAACGGAGCUACGGAGGGUGAUGACACCGCGCCGGGAAGAGCCGCUCCUUCCCCACCCCGUCACCAUGAAUGGGUUACAGCGCCGGGAGCGGGCGCGCCGGGAAGGGGGCGGGGCCUACUGCCAUAUUAGGGAUUCUCAUUUGCAUAGCGCGCUCUGAUUGGAGAAGCGAGGGCAGUUCUGAGCCGCUCGGCAGCAGCCCCGGCCCCGAACAACCCCCGGAGCGCGGCGGCGCGGGGCUGUCCCGGCGCGGGGCGACACCGCCGCGUCCCACCCGGGGACCGCAGCGCCCCGCCGGACCUCCUCCGUCCCGGCCUCGUAAAGCAGCCGCACACGCAGCCGCUGAUCGCUUUCAAGCGCGAUAUUUGAAAACACCACCACCACCACACACACCCCGAAACGUUCGGAUGGGGCUCUGUGUGAGGGGAUGGGGGCACGAGAGGCCGCCCCACCCGCAGCACUCCCCGUGCACGGGGCUGUCAGCCCGAACCUGAACACUUUGCGUUAAACCGAUGUAGGAAAACAUUCCCCGGUAAAGGACAGCGGAGUUGACCCGGCCGGCUACAUAGCGGGCCGCUCUGGUUUUAUUUUAUAAAGCCAUUUGGGCUCGCUGCUAUUUUCCUUCUGUGUUCUGAUCCGGGCAUAGAUCUGCCUCCGAAAUCCAUAUAACACCAACGCGAAAACAGAUUUCAAGACAAUGAAUGCAAAUCUGUGCUCAGAGACCAUCUGCCAGAUGAGGGAAUCAGAUGUUCGGUAGUUAAAGGGACAGCGCGAGGAUUUCCUCCGCUCAUUAUGCGCAGCUCCUCUCUCCAACCCGCUUUAUUUUAUAACGGGAUGAGAUUCAGACCGAAAUUCAAGCUGUGCUUUCAGCUCCUGCUUCCAUUGCCAUUUCGCGGAGCCACCUUCCUAAUACGCGUCAGACUGAUACGGUUUGAUACGGUUCUCCUAAAAUAAUUACCGAAAAAGAUCGCAAAUAAAAGUCUUCCUAUAAGGUUUUCAUAGAAAUGCUUCCUUAAUUCAGCCCAAAGCCGGGACUGAAUUAUUCUGUCCACACGAGUGACAGAUAUGGCAGGAGAUGAACCCAUCCAUCCCACACCAUCGCUGUUAAGGAGAUUUACCACCCGAACGCACCUCCCCAAAGCGAUCCGUGCGCAAUGAGCGACCCGAGCAGGGCAGCAAAAGGGGCAUUGCUGAAUAAAAGCAGCAGUUCGGUGCUGCGGUCCCCACUGAGAAACCGCACCUCACGGCUCCAAGAUUAAAACUUAGAAAAAGAGGGUGAUGUACUCAAAGCAAAGGUAUGAGAGAAUAAGAACGUACUGCGUGAAGGGACGGGGACUUUUUGUCGCCACCCCCACAACAGGCACGGGUCCGUUCCCUCAGCUCAAUGUCCCCUCUUUGUAACAGGAUCGUUUUUGGCAGUGCCACCCCGAUCGUUUCCGCAUCAAUCCCUAAAGCCGGGGCAGGGAUGGGAGGGGGUGGCGGUGGAAUUCCCACCCGAGCGAACCUUGGCUGAUGUAUUCACAAGGAGAAAGUGUUUCCUAAGAGCCGAAGUCUCUCGCUCGCAGUGAUACAGCCGAGUCUGCCCCUGUUAGAGGCGCUCCGGUCGGACUGAAGGCAGCUGCUCGUUCAGUCGCAGCGAAACGCUCAGGAAAGCCCGCACUUAAGCACUUCUAAAUUCUGAACUCCGGGUCUGGAAUCCCUACUUCGAGCGGCCGGGUUAGGCACAGUUUGCGGACAGCACAUCCCUCAACCUCUCCCGAUGUUAAGUUCUCCAAGCGAAAUCAGCAUUGACGUCGGUGCAGCCGCUGCGGAGGUCACUGCGGUUCGGUUAGGGGAGUCCGUUCCAGCGGCAAGCGACAGGGAGAAAAAGUGGAGGAGGAAAGUCAGGCUACAGCCAGUGAAGGCACCGAGAUGGAAGCACUUCGUUCUCGCUCUUGAAUUCGUGGGAAUUCAGUAUCCUUCAGUUGUCCCAAGGGAACAAAUCGUAGGUUAAAAUUGUCAGUGUCGGAGGGGAAAGGAUAACUCCUCGUUCCCUCUUCGCCCGACAAUCUCAGCGAGUUUCAUUCCACAGCCGCACCAGAAAAUAACCGCCUCGUUGUCAAACACUUCACAUUUAAGCCCUCCACAAAGCAAGCUGCUAGCAUGCAAACACGCACCCGUGGUCUCGAAAGCACGCAACGGUAUUUGAGAAACGAAGAGCUCCCCGAAAAUAACUUCCUGGAGCCCAACAGCAGAGCCAUCAACGCAAUGAGAGCACACGGUGCCGAGAAGCAGUGAGAGGUUGUGAUGCUGACUCGGGUUUUAAGGGCAUGGGGCACUCAGAGCACGGACACAGCUCUGCUUUACACGGCUGCUCCGAUUCAACGUAAGCCUCAUUUACAGGAUGGCCCAUUUCACUGAAAUGGGAAUGUUUGGAGUAAGGACAGCCUAUUAAAGUAUUCAAUACAAGAGGUUUAAAGCAGUGCAGGUGCAACUAAAUCAUAAAUGCAGGCUGCGCUCUUAACUGGCAAUGCUGUGUGCAAGACAGGGGUGUGAAAAUGCAGUGUGUUGGGUUACAUCUAUUCUAGAACCUUUUGUUUGCUUUAAGUUCUGCCUUAUCUCAGAAGCAAAGCACUUGAUUUGAUGGUUGGAAAAAGUUUCAUCUCCAAAUAUAGGAUUGCUCUCUAUUCCUCCUCCCUACGCUAUUUGGAAGCAUCUAGAAAUAAGGUUUCACAGCUGGCAGAUCCUGAGCUGUACCUGCCCCUUCCCCUUGUGCCAUAAGGGGAUGCCAACUGGAGCCAACUCUCCCUGCUGAUCAGUGCAUCAUUUGGAGAUGCACACAUCCCAUUUAUAAGCACUGAACAAAAAAAUGCUUUCUAACUUACAAAUGCAUAAGUAAACAUUUGAUAACUUCACCACCACCUCAUCUUCCCCAAAUAGAAAAGACUGUAACCAUCACAUCCUCAAGUCCUCCAUUCAUUCCAGUAAGUAGGUGCUUUUCUCACUAGAACAGAAAAGCACAUCUGCUAGGUUUUAUAUCCAGCUUUUUAAGAUACUUUUACUGCCUUUUGCCUAGCAUAGCUUUUGGAACACGUUAGCAAAUAUUUUACCAUUGGGAGUGUAUGUUCCAUUUUAUUUUAUAAUGCAGACUUAGAAGCCCCAGCACUGAGUUUGUUUCUCUAAGCAUACAGAGCCUCAAACUAACAAGCACAUUUGGGAAGAACACUUCAGGUGGGUCUAUGUUUGUGCUGGAAGUCCCCCUCAUUUUCCAGCUUACGGAAAACAAUGAAGGUCAGCUUCCAAUGUAUCUUAGGAUAUCAAUUACCCAUGUUGAUCUUCAACUCAAGAAGCAAAAUUUGGGUUAUCAGAGCCUUUAUAUAGUUCCACCACACACACUUUGUGACAGAACUCCAGCUGGGAAAUGCAUCCUCCAUAAGAAACCAGACAAAUGCAGACACACUGAAGAGCAGAAUCACAUCCACUCAUUAACAUGAGCCUAAAGCAGUCCCCAGUCCUAUGAACAUUCUUAUCCUUAACCUAUAUUAGCCACCAGAGUGGUCUUACAAGAAUUACUUGACAAUAUACACAUGCUUAACCAUCUGUACAGCGUGGGCCUCCUUUUUAUUUCUUGACUCAACUCAAUUCUGUCUUAAACAGGUGUCUAAUUUCCAUUACAUGAAUACUCAAUCUGAAGCCAUGCCACAGGGACACUCUGCCAACUCACUUCCCCUCUUUAAGCCCCACACUGGAUGAUAAUCUGAUUUUUUUCCCAUGUUUCAAAAUAUAAAGAGCUGUGAACACAACUUUUUGUAGGAGGAACCUGAACCCAGUGAGCAAGGAAACUCACUUAUCAAGAUUCUGAAUCUGGCUGGAGGUUAUUGGUGCUGCCAUCAUACAAAUUACCAGGAAGGAGAAGAUCUCUCUUGGGGAUGGUCAAUAAUCAAAACAUCUGCCUUCCAUGCCUCCUUUUAAAGCAUCUGGUACUUGAAGCUAAGAUAUAACAUACAAGAAGCUUAAUCUAAUCUGACUAGUCCUAUGUUCUUUCCAUAAGGCAAGAAGGAAGUAGUUAGAAGCUCAGUAUAUCAUAAUUAGAGCUUCACAACAUUGGAGAGACAGCUCUGCUCUUCUCUGAAGUGUAUUUAAUAAUUUCAAGAGUAUUGCAGUGUUUUUCUUCUUGAUUUGGUAGAACUGAACCCAUUGCACUCCUGACUCCAUGAAGCUCACUGGACUCCACCCGCAGCAAACCACAUUUCAGCAGCUGCCAGUCUGCGUGACCAGAUUCUGAUCCUGCAAAUGUUUGCACUUUCAUACAGGCAGUGAGGCUGAGGAUCCAUAGCACCAAUGGUUCACAGCAGAUUUCUACAGGGUGAGGGUCCCACAACUCCAAGCUUCCAUUUUUUGAGUUCAUUCUAAAUUAUUAGCACCUACCUCCAUUCCAGACCCUUCCUAGGGGAAGGAGCAAUCCACCAUGAGUUUUACACCUCCUGUGCUAUUCGGUUACCAUUUACCAUCUGAACUGUUUCUUUCAUCACUACUUCAGUAUUCAUUUUUAGAGUAAAUAGAGAUGCUUUGAAAUUUACACAUACCUAAAUGGUUCUGCUACUUAAAAGGAUCUGGGCAGCCUGACUGGACAUCAUUACAUUUCCAUCAUCAGUAUUAGUUAGAUGGGGGAAAGUAAUAUUUUACUAAAUAAGCUGAUACUAUUCCUAGUAAAGAGCAUUGCUAAUAUACUUAAAAUGAAAGGCUGUACCACGUGCCCCCUGCAACCAAGCUGAGACACUGCAACAGAAGGAAAGAAUGCCCUUUAACUUUGUGCCUGACAGAUAUAUCAUAUACCCAAAUAUAACAACUUUAACUGCAGCUUCUCAAGCAUGUUUUCCAUAAGCAGAAACUCACAUCAAAGAUGAAAGCUGAGGACAGAUAGUCCGUACACACCGGCAGAAGAUGGACCCAAGGCUUGAUGGGUGGUAUCAUGCCUGGGCACACAGAUAAGGCUCUUCUGGAGGCAUUCUAGGGAAAUAUCCAAAUAUGAACAGACAGCAUGAGAAGCAGAUCUCUUUCUACAGGCUCUAGGAUUCAGUCAGUCCACAUUAAGAAAUCAAGCUAAGGGCAUUAAAUUCAGAUUAGCUGAUAUCUGAUAAGAGCAGAAGUCAGAUUAGAGUCUCACUGGUGAAGGAUCAUUGUUAGCACAACAAAAAGGCACCUUUAAAACAAUCAGAGUCAGACUGUGCAGCAGGUAGGUAUGCCUAAAGUAGACUUCAUUGUGAGCCACGAGAUUUUAAGUAGUAACAAGCCUUGAGAUCAGCUCAGGCAUGUUUUCCUUACUUAGUGUUUCUCCCAUAGAUGGGAGAAUAAGAAUUGUCCCAUUAGCCACAGUUCAUCAGAAGGUGUCUGUGUUGGGGACAGUCCUCUCAGGGCAGGCCACCCUAGUGUUAUAGUCAUUGCACACCAGUUGGAUAAUACCAGGCCAGAAGGGGAAUGGAAGAAACCAGUUUUCCACAUGCAUCUUCCCCUGGUAUUGAGCUACUGGAGAAAGCAGUACAAUAAAGCUUUGGCCACUCCAAGUCCACAGGAUGUCAAUGACAACAGAACUGAUGAAUGGGUUCAGAGGGGUUCAGAAAAGCACCCCAAGCAGAUAAAGCUUUGCCAUCCACAUGUACUCUUUGGCUUUAGAGAAGGAAAACACACUGUUGUUUUCAAGAGCAUGUGUUCUGAGCAUCUGAAGGGUAGAAUAUGUUGGAGCAUAUGGCAUAUAAUAUCUUUUUCCAUUCAUAAUCUGCAGCAAGACAGCAAAAAUCAGUUCUACUAAGUACAGGCUCCAGCUUUCAUUUGAAAACAUUUCCAGUGUGAUGUCUUUCCAGCAGGCCUACUUAGGCAUCAUCUAGACAGACAAUUAUCAAAGUAGCUGGAUGUUUUCAUAGCAAUAGAUGGGCUAUGGAAUUUGCUUAUAGCAAGUCCACGCCAAAUCACUGUAAGACUCCCCUGCUUGCUACUUCCACUGCUGGGUUGCAAAUACAAACAGUGUGGGUGCUAGCAAUGUGCUCUGCUUAUGUGCCACCCUAGUUACUGGUGUCUUACACAGAUGGAAUAAAGCUCCUUCACUGCACAGCUCACAGUCCAAACUUCACAAGAAAGUGAUAAGAGAACAGAUGCACACAAAAGGAAAGCCAAGAGAAGAUAUGAUUUCACCUGAGGACCACACACUGCAGCAUGAAGUCACUCUAGGACAGUCACUCAUUUUCCAAGACUCAGUAUCUGUUUAUUUCCCUUUCACUACAAUCACUUAUUUGGUCAAAGAAUUCUCCAAGUAAUCCAUGAGAUAACCUACAGUAACCACAGCUGCCUUAAAUGUUUCCAAAUAGGCCAUGCUUUAUCCUUCACCUUGAAGAGAAUCUCAUGCCCCACCAGCUUGUGCCCCAACAGUUCCAACAUCUGAAAUUCUCAUUUUCUGCUAUGGAGCUGGUCCAGGUUGUCACUUCAGAAAGCCUUCCAGUGGAGGAUGCAAUCAGCUCUUCCCCACGUGCACCCCUGCACCCAGGGCUUCCUGCACUGACCUUGACUGGUCUGUGCUGUGAGCAGCAGGAGGGGGCUGGGUACCACCACCACACACUGUGCAGAAUGCCAGACUGCAAAGCAGCACAGCAUGCACAGCCUCCAGAGGGGUAAAGCAUUUCACAAGAUGGUUUAUGGCAUCUUCUUUCUUUCCCCCUCCCACGUAGAGUAUGAAUAAUGUUAAUGGUGACAGGGCCUACAGGCAAUAAAAGGCCUUUGCAGGUAGCAAACAGCUUCAAACUUUGCUUUGGCUCUCUGCCAGCCACUACAGCCAGUCAGAAUUUCCUAUUAGAGCUUAGGACCAGUGUCCAGCAAGUAAUGACAUGGCCUUAUUGGCUUCCAGUGUGAAGGCAGAUAGGAAGCUGGGUUUUGACUUAAAAGAUCCCAAACUGAAAAAGAGGAAAUUGGCAUUUCACACGUAUCUGCCACUGAUUUAAUACAUACCUACUGUGUAAGGAAAUCCUUACUAUUCUCAUAAUCAGCUGAGAAGGGUCAAAACAAGUAUUAAUUGCAAAGCCAGACAAUGAAAACUGCUUCUUGGAUCAUCAUCCCUUGUUGAAACAGCACAUAAAGCCCAAACCAAGAGUGUAUGGCCCCUCUCUCAAUAUGCAUUUGUAAAAGAGUUCCAAAGAGCUUUAGUGUUGCAAGAAAUAAACUGCAAUUUGAAAUAUAAG